ACUGCUCGAUCUGGCGUUUACUGUGAACAAAUUAGCGUGCUCAAGACAGGCUUUUGCUUGUAAUUUUCUAGCAUGGAAUAUAGAAUACGACUUCGCUCAUUUUAUUGGUUAUUGGACGAAGUAAUGGUUAACAGGAACAGUUGGGGGCAUUCGUACUUAAGAGUCAGAGGUGAAAUUCUUAGAUUUCUUAAAGACGAACUAAUGCGAAGGCAUUUGCCAAGGAUGUUUUCAUUAAUCAAGAACGAAAGCGUUGGGAUCAAAAGGAUCAGAUACCCUUGUAGUCAACGCCGUAAACGAUACUGACUAGGGGAUUGGUGAGGCUAACCCUCAUCAGCACCUAAUGAGAAAUCAAAGUCUUUGAGUUCUGGGGAGAGUAUGGUCGCAAGGCUGAAACUUAAAGGAAUUGACGGAAAGAUACACAAGUCGUGGAUUCUGCGGCUUAAUUUUAGAUUUAACACGGGAAAACUUACGCAGGC
rnacentral:rRNA from 1 species